ACUCUAAUGGUGUUAUUUGCACGUUGGAUUUUGAUUCUAAAAGGAUGUAAUGGAGAUUAUUUAAGAGUA
rnacentral:tRNA from 1 species